UACGUAGGGUGCAAGCGUUGUCCGGAGUUAUUGGGCGUAAAGAGCUCGUAGGCGGUUUGUCGCGUCGAAUGUGAAAACCCGGGGCUCAACCCCGGGCCUGCAUUCGAUACGGGCAGACUAGAGUUCGGUAGGGGAGUCUGGAAUUCCUGGUGUAGCGGUGAAAUGCGCAGAUAUCAGGAGGAACACCGGUGGCGAAGGCGGGACUCUGGGCCGAUACUGACGCUGAGGAGCGAAAGCGUGGGGAGCAAACAGG
rnacentral:rRNA from 1 species